rnacentral:rRNA from 1 species
UGGGGAAUCUUGGACAAUGGGCGCAAGCCUGAUCCAGCCAUGCCGCGUGGAUGAUGAAGGCCUUAGGGUUGUAAAAUCCUUUCGCCGAGGACGAUAAUGACGGUACUCGGAGAAGAAGCUCCGGCUAACUUCGUGCCAGCAGCCGCGGUAAUACGAAGGGGGCUAGCGUUGUUCGGAUUUACUGGGCGUAAAGCGCGUGUAGGCGGGUCGUUAAGUUGGGGGUGAAAUCCCGAGGCUCAACCUCGGAACUGCCUUCAAAACUGGCGACCUGGACUCAAGUAGAGGCAAGUGGAAUUGCGAGUGUAGAGGUGAAAUUCGUAGAUAUUCGCAGGAACACCAGUGGCGAAGGCGACUUGCUGGACUUGUAGUGACGCUGAGACGCGAAAGCGUGGGGAGCAAACAG